AUUGAACGCUGGCGGCAUGCCUUACACAUGCAAGUCGAACGGUAACGGGCCUUCGGGUGCCGACGAGUGGCGAACGGGUGAGUAAUACAUCGGAACGUGCCCGAUCGUGGGGGAUAACGAGGCGAAAGCUUUGCUAAUACCGCAUACGAUCUACGGAUGAAAGCAGGGGACCGCAAGGCCUCGCGCGGACGGAGCGGCCGAUGGCAGAUUAGGUAGUUGGUGGGAUAAAAGCUUACCAAGCCGACGAUCUGUAGCUGGUCCGAGAGGAUGAUCAGCCACACUGGGACUGAGACACGGCCCAGACUCCUACGGGAGGCAGCAGUGGGGAAUUUUGGACAAUGGGCGCAAGCCUGAUCCAGCCAUGCCGCGUGCAGGAUGAAGGCCUUCGGGUUGUAAACUGCUUUUGUACGGAACGAAAAGCCUUCUUUUAAUACAGGAGGGUCAUGACGGUACCGUAAGAAUAAGCACCGGCUAACUACGUG
rnacentral:rRNA from 1 species